CAGUGUUCUUGCCUGGAGAAUCCCAGGGACGGGAGAGCCUGGUUGGCUGCUGUCUAUGGGGUCGCACAGAGUCGGACACCACUGAAGCAACUCAGCAGCAGCAGCAGCAGCUCCUCUGCUAUUACGGCUCCACCUUCCAGAGACUGUGGACUUACUCCUGGCAGUAACCUUACCUGGUUCCUGCCUGUGCCAAGCACCUGCUGCAGAGCAGACACUCCUGCCCAGCUGAAUGGAUGGUUGGAUCUGACUGCUUACACCUUGAGGUCAGCAUGCAGAUUCCUUAGUUCUUCACUCAAGACCCUCUGUGAUCAGGCCCCCAACAACCCUCAGCUCUGUGGGCUUUGCUUCCACCCAUCCCCCCCACCGCCCAGCAUUUCCCGCUUCUCCCCACACACCACUCUCCUUGCAUUUCCCUGCCCAGAAUUGCCUUUCAUCCUACACCUUCAUCUUCCUUGCCCCCUUUGUCAAGAACUAGGUCAAUUCUCACCACCUCUAAGGGCCUGGCCCCUAUUCCUGCUCAGGAUCCAAGUUUUACCAGUUGUGGGUAUCAAAGCCCCAUCAGAAUAGCUCUCCUUGUUACAAAUAUUUUAUAACAUCAUUUUCUUUCUGAAGAGAAAUUCAAAGAUAAUUUAAUCUAUAUACCUAUAGAAUUUUUGCCUUUCUAUACAGUUUAUGGGGUUCUCACCACAAGAAUACUAAAGUGGUUUGCCAUUCCCUCCUCCAGUGGACCACGUUUUNNNNNNNNNNNNNNNNNNNNNNNAUCUGUCUUGGGUGGCCCUGCAUGGCAUGACUCAUAGUUUCAUUGAGUUACCCAAGCCCCUUCACCAUAACAAGGCAAUGAUUCAUAAAGACAGAAGGAGAAGAGGGUGACAGAGGAUGAGAUGGUUGCAUGGCAUCAUUGACUCAACGGACAUGAACUUGGGCAAACUCUGAGAGAUGGUGAGAAACAGGGAUGCCUGGCAUGCCACAGUCCAUGGGGUUGUAGAGUCCAACUUGGCAACUGAACAACAACCCAUAGAAUUAUAAAUUGGAGUCAAUGUAGUGCUGUAAUUAUAACAAAAAGUAUUAAAAAUUAAAUUACAAUAUGUAAAAUAAUAACAUGUCUUUGAAUAGUUAAAUGUUUCAGUUGACUAUAUACAAAAUAAACUGAUGACACAGGUAGUUACAUGUAUGCAAAGAAUUCUGUAAAUAUGACAGCUAUAAACGCAGACUGAUUUGAGUGUGCAGUGUGGACAAUCUGGAGCAUCCCUGAGGCUGACACCACACUACAGAAAGCCUCUCUUGGUAAAGUACCCCACAGCACAAAGUACAACCUCUCUUUCAUCUGCAGCACAGCUGCCUUCCUGAAAGACUCAGUGUACAAAGUAAGCAAAAAUGACAGUUGCUUGCUUCCUUAUGAGUAGGCCCAUCACGUCCUAUAGCCAACUGUCCUGUUUGUACAUGGCUGACGGGUCUUCUGGGAUGCAGAACCUUCGAUACUAAAAUGAGGGCUGUUGGUUACCCCCACUUUACACCUUGAAACAAACCAAAGCUAACUGGGUUGCUUUAUUUGAUUUGGCCCCCCCAAAUAAACCUGGAUUAUCUAGAAAAAUAACUUUCAAAGCUAUGUCAAACCUAGACAGCAUAUUAAAAACCAGAGACAUCACCUAGCCAACAAAGGAGGUCUAUAUAGUCAAAGCUAUAGUUUUUCCAGUAGUCAUGUAUGGAUG
ensembl:lncRNA